UACGGAGGGUGCAAGCGUUAUUCGGAAUCAUUGGGUGUAAAGCGCGUGUAGGCGGCUUAGUAAGUCAGAUGUGAAAGCUCCGGGCUUAACUCGGAAAGUGCAUUUGAAACUGCUAGGCUUGAGUCCGGGAGAGGAAGGUGGAAUUCCCAGUGUAGAGGUGAAAUUCGUAGAUAUUGGGAGGAACACCGGUGGCGAAGGCGACCUUCUGGACCGAGACUGACGCUGAGACGCGAAAGCGUGGGGAGCAAACAGG
rnacentral:rRNA from 1 species